GCAGUCGACGGCAGCACGGGAGCAAUCCUGGUGGCGAGUGGCGAACGGGUGAGUAAUAUAUCGGAACGUGCCCAAUCGUGGGGGAUAACGCAGCGAAAGCUGUGCUAGUACCGCAUACGAUCUACGGAUGAAAGCGGGGGACUCGCAAGAGCCUCGCGCGAUUGGAGCGGCCGAUAUCAGAUUAGCUAGUUGGUGGGGUAAAAGCCUACCAAGGCGACGAUCUGUAGCUGGUCUGAGAGGACGACCAGCCACACUGGAACUGAGACACGGUCCAGACUCCUACGGGAGGCAGCAGUGGGGAAUUUUGGACAAUGGGCGAAAGCCUGAUCCAGCAAUGCCGCGUGCAGGAUGAAGGCCUUCGGGUUGUAAACUGCUUUUGUACGGAACGAAACGGUUCGCCUUAAUACGGUGGGCUAAUGACGGUACCGUAAGAAUAAGCACCGGCUAACUACGUGCCAGCAGCCGCGGUAAUACGUAGGGUGCGAGCGUUAAUCGGAAUUACUGGGCGUAAAGCGUGCGCAGGCGGUUAUAUAAGACAGAUGUGAAAUCCCCGGGCUCAACCUGGGACCUGCAUUUGUGACUGUAUAGCUAGAGUACGGUAGAGGGGGAUGGAAUUCCGCGUGUAGCAGUGAAAUGCGUAGAUAUGCGGAGGAACACCGAUGGCGAAGGCAAUCCCCUGGACCUGUACUGACGCUCAUGCACGAAAGCGUGGGGAGCAAACAGGAUUAGGUACCCUGGUAGAAUCACUAGUGAAUUC
rnacentral:rRNA from 1 species